CACGUUGCAGACAGAUGAGCUCUGUAGAAACAGAAAUAAAUCUUUACCUGGGAAACCUCACUUCACACCCAGCACGAAUCAGCAUGGAAUGAAAAACAAUGCUCUCUAAUGAUUUUGAACCAUGUGAAACUCUGAAGAUGGAGAGACAGCUCCUCCUGGGAAAGCAGGAUUAACAUUAAAAUCAACAGCACCAGGGUCAUCCACAACAGUCAUCCACAACAGUCUCAAGCAAGUCAAUCCACAUCUUAUCCUCAGCAUCCUGGAUGAACUGGACAGUGUUUGCCUACAGAAGUGGCCUUCGCAAUUGAGCACGGAAGUCAGGAAACAGCUGGACUCUGGGGACGAAACAAGAAGUCAUCCAUAAAAAAUGGCAAUGCUGCAGCUCUG